rnacentral:rRNA from 1 species
ACGCGANAAACCUCACCUACCCUCNACAUGGUCGGAAUCCUNAAGAGAUUUGCUAGUGNUCGUAAGAGAACCGGCGCACAGGUGCUGCAUGGCUGUCGUCAGCUGGUNUCGUGAGAUGNUGGGUUAANUCCCGCAACGAGCGCAACCCUNGUCAUUAGUUGCUACGAAAGGGCACUCUAAUGAGACUGCCGGUGACAGGCCGGAGAAAGGUGGGGAUGACGUCAAGUCCUCAUGGCCCUNAUGGGUAGGGCUUCACACGUCAUACAAUGGUACAUACAGAGGGCCGCCAACCCGCGAGGGGGAGCUAAUCCCAGNAAGUGUAUCGUAGUCCGGAUUGUAGUCUGCAACUCGACUACAUGAAGUUGGCUUCGCUAGUAAUCGCGCAUCAGCA